rnacentral:rRNA from 1 species
AUUGAACGCUGGCGGCGUGCCUAACACAUGCAAGUCGAGCGGUAACAGGUGUAGCAAUACAUGCUGACGAGCGGCGGACGGGUGAGCAAUAUUUGGGAAUCUGCCUAUUAGUGGGGAGUAACCCGGGAAACGUCGGGCUAAUACCGCAUACGCUCUACGGAGGAAGCCGGGGACCGCAAGGCCUGGCGCUAGUAGAUGAGCCCAAAUCGGAUUAGCUAGUUGGUGAGGUAACGGCUCACCAAGGCGACGAUCCGUAGCUGGUUUGAGAGAACGACCAGCCACACCGGAACUGAGACACGGUCC